rnacentral:rRNA from 1 species
GUUAGGAAUUUUGCGCAAUGGACGAAAGUCUGACGCAGCGACACCGCGUGGAGGAUGAAGACCUUAGGGUUGUAAACUCCUUUUUAGCGGCCAUGAAGGCCACUAGAAUAAGUAGCUACUAACUACGUGCCAGCAGUCGCGGUAAUACGUAGGCUACGAGCGUUACCCGGAUUUAUUGGGCGUAAAGGGUCUGUAGACGGUUUUCCAAGUCUGGUUUCAAAGCCCCCGACUCAAUCGGGGAAAGGGGUCAGAUACUGGGAUACUAGAGUCAUAUCGGGGUUACUGGAAUUUUUGGUGUAGGGGUUAAAUCCGUGGAUACCAAAAAGAACACCAAGCGCGAAGGCGGGUAACUAGGUAUGUACUGACGUUCAGAGACGAAAGCUAGGGUAGCAAAUCAGAUUAGAGACCUGAGUAGUCCUAGCUGUAAACAUUGUCCGUUAGUUCUUCUCAAUUUAUUGGGAGGGAUGUUAGCUAACGCGUUAAACGGAUCGCCUGGGGAGUAUAGCCGCAAGGCCGAAACUCAAACGAAUUGGCGGGGAGGCGCACAACCAGUGGAGCAUGUGGUUCAAUUCGAUACGAAGCGAUAAACCUUACCUGGGUUUGAAAUGUAUCUGCAAGCUUUAUGAAAGUAGAGCUGCCUUCGAGGGUGAUACACAGCUGUUGCAUGGCUGUCGUCAGCUCGUGACGUGAGUUGUUCUCUUAAGUGAGGUAACGAGCGCAACCCCCAUUCUGUGUUAUCGUGUCACAGAAGACUGCCUAGCAUUAUUUUGUUAGGAGGAAGGAGGGGACGACGUCAAGUCAUCAUGAUGCUUAUGUCCAGGGCUACACACAUCCUACAAUGGGCUAUAACAGAGGGUUGCAAGACCGCAAGGUGGAGCUAAUCCCUAAACUAGCCCUCAGUUGGGAUUGCAGGCUGAAACUCGCCUGCAUGAACCCGGAAUUGGUAGUAAUCGCACAUCAGCAGCGUGCGGUGAAUACGUUCUCGCCUCUUGCACACACUGCCCGUCAAAUCAGCAAAGUUGGGGGUACCCAAAGGCUCUGGCUUGCCAGGGACUAAGGUAAAUCCAGCGAUGAGGGUUAAGUCGUAACAAGGUAUCCGUACUGGAAGGUGCGGAUG